rnacentral:tRNA from 1 species
GCCCGGGUGGCGGAAUGGCAGACGCACUGGAUUUAAAAUCCGGUGGCCGAAAGGCCGUGCGGGUUCAAAUCCCGCCCCGGGCA